CAAUAGCGUAUAUUAAAGUUGUUGCAGUUAAAAAGCUCGUAGUUGGAUUUCUGGGAGGGUGCUAAUGUCCGCCGUAGCGCGUGUGCAGCCGCGCCCUUCCAUCCUUCUGUUAACGCCUCUUGGCAUUUGUUUGCUGGUGGCGGGCUCAGAUAUUUUACCUUGAGAAAAUUAGAGUGUUUCAGGCAGGCUAGGCCGGAAUACAUUAGCAUGGAAUAAUGGAAUAGGACUUCGGUCUCUUUGUUGGUUUGUAGGGACGUGCAGUAAUGAUUAAUUAGGGAGUAGUUGGGGGCGAUUAGUAUUUAAUUUAGUUCAGAGGUGGAAGUUACUUCGGAGUUUGUUUAAAGAACUAACUUAAUUGCGAAAGACAUUUGUCCAAGGAAGUGUUUUCUAUUAAUUCAAGAACGAAAGUUAGGGGAGUCAAAGAUGAUUAGAUACCAU
rnacentral:rRNA from 1 species